GACGAACGCUGGCGGCGUGCCUAAUACAUGCAAGUAGAACGCUGAAGGAGGAGCUUGCUUCUCUGGAUGAGUUGCGAACGGGUGAGUAACGCGUAUGUAACCUGCCUGGUAGCGGGGGAUAACUAUUGGAAACGAUAGCUAAUACCGCAUAAGAGUAGAUGUUGCAUGACAUUUGCUUAAAAUGUGCAAUUUCAUCACUACCAGAUGGACCUGCGUUGGAUUAUCUAGUUGGUGAGGUAACGGCUCAACAAGGCGACGAUACAUAGCCGACCUGAGAGGGUGAUCGGCCAACAUGGGACUGAGGCAACGCCCAGAAUCCUACGGGAGGCAGCAGUAGGGAAUCUUCGGCAAUGGACGGAAGUCUGAACCAGCCAAGACGGGUGAGUGAAGAAGGUUUUCGGAUCGUAAAGCUCUGUUGUAAGAGAAGAACGAGUGUCAGAGUGGAAAGUUCACACUGUGACGGUACCUUAAGAGAAAGGGACGGCUAACUACGUG
rnacentral:rRNA from 1 species